rnacentral:rRNA from 1 species
AGAGUUUGAUCCUGGCUCAGAUUGAACGCUGGCGGCAUGCCUUACACAUGCAAGUCGAACGGUAACGCGGGGCAACCUGGCGACGAGUGGCGAACGGGUGAGUAAUACAUCGGAACGUGCCCAGUAGUGGGGGAUAGCCCGGCGAAAGCCGGAUUAAUACCGCAUACGACCUACGGGUGAAAGCAGGGGAUCGCAAGACCUUGCGCUAUUGGAGCGGCCGAUGUCAGAUUAGGUUGUUGGUGGGGUAAAAGCCCACCAAGCCGACGAUCUGUAGCUGGUCUGAGAGGACGACCAGCCACACUGGGACUGAGACACGGCCCAGACUCCUACGGGAGGCAGCAGUGGGGAAUUUUGGACAAUGGGCGCAAGCCUGAUCCAGCCAUGCCGCGUGCGGGAAGAAGGCCUUCGGGUUGUAAACCGCUUUUGUCAGGGAAGAAACGCUCCGGGCUAAUACCCUGGGGUAAUGACGGUACCUGAAGAAUAAGCACCGGCUAACUACGUGCCAGCAGCCGCGGUAAU